UCGCCGCGAGCAGCACGGCGGUGCCGAGGUCGUUGUGACCGGCGUAGAGCGGCAGGUCGGCGACCGUGACGCCGGCGCCGACC
rnacentral:tRNA from 1 species